rnacentral:rRNA from 1 species
AUACGUAGGGGGCGAGCGUUGUCCGGAAUGAUUGGGCGUAAAGGGCGCGUAGGCGGCCCGGUAAGUCUGGAGUGAAAGUCCUGUUUUUAAGAUGGGAAUUGCUUUGGAUACUGUCGGGCUUGAGUGCAGGAGAGGUAAGUGGAAUUCCCAGUGUAGCGGUGAAAUGCGUAGAGAUUGGGAGGAACACCAGUGGCGAAGGCGACUUACUGGACUGUAACUGACGCUGAGGCGCGAAAGUGUGGGGAGCAAACAGGAUUAGAUACCCUGGUAGUCCACACUGUAAACGAUGAAUGCUAGGUGUAGGGGGUAUCGACCCCUUCUGUGCCGCAGUCAACACAAUAAGCAUUCCGCCUGGGGAGUACGGCCGCAAGGUUGAAACUCAAAGGAAUUGACGGG